GGGGUUGUGGCUCAGCGGUAGAGUGCCCACCUAUAAUGUGUGAGGCACCAGAUUCGAUCCUCAGCACUA
rnacentral:tRNA from 1 species